rnacentral:rRNA from 1 species
GAUGAACGCUGGCGGCGUGCCUAAUACAUGCAAGUCGAGCGAACAGAUAAGGAGCUUGCUCCUUUGACGUUAGCGGCGGACGGGUGAGUAACACGUGGGUAACCUACCUAUAAGACUGCGAUAACUUCGGGAAACCGGAGCUAAUACCGGAUAACAUUUGGAACCGCAUGGUUCUAAAGUGAAAGAUGGUUUUGCUAUCACUUAUAGAUGGACCCGCGCCGUAUUAGCUAGUUGGUAAGGUAACGGCUUACCAAGGCGACGAUACGUAGCCGACCUGAGAGGGUGAUCGGCCACACUGGAACUGAGACACGGUCCAGACUCCUACGGGAGGCAGCAGUAGGGAAUCUUCCGCAAUGGGCGAAAGCCUGACGGAGCAACGCCGCGUGAGUGAUGAAGGGUUUCGGCUCGUAAAACUCUGUUAUUAGGGAAGAACAAAUGUGUAAGUAACUGUGCACGUCUUGACGGUACCUAAUCAGAAAGCCACGGCUAACUACGUG